rnacentral:rRNA from 1 species
UAACGGUCCUAAGGUAGCGAAAUUCCUUGUCGGGUAAGUUCCGACCCGCACGAAAGGCGUAACGAUUUGGGCACUGUCUCAACAACAGACUCGGUGAAAUUGUAAUUCCGGUGAAGAUGCCGGAUACCUGCGACAGGACGGAAAGACCCCAUGGAGCUUUACUGUAGCUUGACAUUGGGUCUUGGUACUACAUGUACAGGAUAGGUGGGAGGCUUUGAAACCAGGACGCCAGUUUUGGCGGAGCCAUCCUUGGGAUACCACCCUUGUAGUACUGGGACUCUAACCAUAGGCCAUGAAUCUGGUCUUGGGACACUGUCAGGUGGGCAGUUUGACUGGGGCGGUCGCCUCCCAAAAGGUAACGGAGGCGCUCAAAGGUUCUCUCAGUACGGUCGGAAAUCGUACGUAGAGUGUAAAGGCAAAAGAGAGCUUGAUUGCAAGACAUACAGGUCGAGCAAGGAUGAAAAUCGGACUUAGUGAUCCGGUGGUUCUGCGUGGAAGGGCCAUCGCUCAACGGAUAAAAGCUACCCUGGGGAUAACAGGCUUAUCUCCCCCAAGAGUCCACAUCGACGGGGAGGUUUGGCACCUCGAUGUCGGCUCAUCACAUCCUGGGGCUGUAGUAGGUCCCAAGGGUUGGGCUGUUCGCCCAUUAAAGUGGUACGCGAGCUGGGUUCAGAACGUCGUGAGACAGUUCGGUCCCUAUCCGUCGCAGGCGUAGGAAAUUUGAGAAGACCUGUCCUUAGUACGAGAGGACCGGGAUGGACGUACCUCUGGUGUACCAGUUGUCCUGCCAAGGGCAUGGCUGGGUAGCUAUGUACGGAAUGGAUAAGCGCUGAAAGCAUCUAAGCGCGAAGCCAACUUCAAGAUAAGAUUUCCCACCGCAAGGGUAAGACCCCAGAAAGACUAUCUGGUUGAUAGGUCGAAGGUGUAAGUGCAGCAAUGUAUUUAGCUUAUCGAUACUAAUAGGUCGAGGACUUGACCAA